rnacentral:rRNA from 1 species
UACGGAGGGUGCGAGCGUUAUUCGGAAUUACUGGGCGUAAAGCGCGUGUAGGCGGCAGGGCAAGUCUGGUGUGAAAGCCCGGGGCUCAACCCCGGAAGUGCAUUGGAAACUGCUCUGCUUGAGUACCGGAGAGGAAGGGGGAAUUCCCGGUGUAGCGGUGAAAUGCGUAGAUAUCGGGAGGAAUACCAGUGGCGAAGGCGACUCUCUGGUCUGCAACUGACGCUGAGGCUCGAAAGCAUGGGUAGCGAACAGG